GUCAAGCCAUAAGACUUGCUUUUCCCACAGAAAUCCCAUAACUGCAGCGAUGUUACAACCGCAAAGGAUUCUGGGUGGGCAUAUGCAAAUUAGUUUAACAAAGAAUAACAUUUUUGCCUCAUUCCAUUUUAAACAUGGAUUCCUUUUAAUCUGUGUUUGCUGUUUACAGUUUCUGCGCCUACCAUGAUGACCACGGGUAACGGGGAAUCAGGUUUCCACUCCAUACAGGGAUCCUGAGAAACGGCUACCACAUGCAAGGAAGGCAGCAGGCGCGCAAAUGACCCACUCCCGACGCGGGAAGGUAGUGACGAC